CCUUAGAGUUUGAUCAUGGCUCAGGACGAACGCUGGCGGCGUGCCUAACACAUGCAAGUCGAACGGGAUCAAUGUUUUCGGAUGUUGAUCUAGUGGCGGACGGGUGAGUAACGCGUGAACAACCAACCUUCAAGAGGGGGAUAACAUCGAGAAAUCGAUGCUAAUACCGCAUAAGACCACAACUUCACAUGGAGAAGGGGUCAAAGAUUUAUCGCUUGAAGACGGGUUCGCGUCCCAUUAGGUAGUAGGUGAGGUAAUGGCUCACCUAGCCAUCGAUGGGUAGCCGAGCUGAGAGGCUGAACGGCCACACUGGGACUGAGACACGGCCCAGACUCCUACGGGAGGCAGCAGUGGGGAAUAUUGGGCAAUGGGGGAAACCCUGACCCAGCAACGCCGCGUGAAGGAUGAAGGUUUUCGGAUUGUAAACUUCUGUCCUCAGGGACGAAACAAAUGACGGUACCUGAGGAGGAAGCCCCGGCUAACUACGUGCCAGCAGCCGCGGUAAUACGUAAUGGGGCGAGCGUUGUCCGGAAUUACUGGGCGUAAAGGGAGCGCAGGCGGUCUAUUAAGUUAGGUGUGAAACACCCGGGCUUAACCUGGGAGGUGCAUCUAAAACCUGGUACAC
rnacentral:rRNA from 1 species